ACUUACUAUUCAGUCAGUUAUUUCUGUCGGUUAGGUUUUUUAGAUGUUCGGCGAUAGUCAUCUAACGGACGGGUAUUGAAUUAUUCAGUCCGAAACGACGCAGAGAAUUUCGAAUGAUUGUUAAAUAUUCUGUACCGGGCGACAAGACGUCGUCGUGUUGUAAAGUCAUUAUAAUUGUGUUAUCGUGUGCCGCGCUGCAUUAUCUCCUAGUGUAAUACGAGUACAUCGGU